CAGGCCUAACACAUGCAAGUCGAACGCCCCGCAAGGGGAGUGGCAGACGGGUGAGUAACACGUGGGAACGUACCCUUUGGUUCGGAACAACCCUGGGAAACUAGGGCUAAUACCGGAUACGCGCGAGAGCGGAAAGGUUUACCGCCGAAGGAUCGGCCCGCGUCUGAUUAGCUAGUUGGUGAGGUAACGGCUCACCAAGGCGACGAUCAGUAGCUGGUCUGAGAGGAUGAUCAGCCACACUGGGACUGAGACACGGCCCAGACUCCUACGGGAGGCAGCAGUGGGGAAUAUUGGACAAUGGGCGAAAGCCUGAUCCAGCAAUGCCGCGUGAGUGAUGAAGGCCUUAGGGUUGUAAAGCUCUUUUAUCCGGGACGAUAAUGACGGUACCGGAGGAAUAAGCCCCGGCUAACUUCGUGCCAGCAGCCGCGGUAAU
rnacentral:rRNA from 1 species